rnacentral:lncRNA from 1 species
AGUUGUAAGAUUUAGGCUGUUUGAUCUGUGGUAUCUGCGUGUCUCCCCUAAAUAUCAAAGUGAUGUGACAUUAACAUGCCAAAUGAUGAAGAGCAAGAGUUAAAGAUGUAGAAGAUACACAUCUUUCAAGGUACUAACUACCAGGGCCGGACCUAGGGUAACAAAGGAAAGGAGUUUGGGAAAUACAGUUUGUGCACUGAAUUCUAAUGGUUGAAGAUUCAAGGCGUGAUAGUACAGGAAUUAGAAAACUAUGAUGGCAACUUUAAGAAUCAGCAAUCAUGAAAAAGUACAAUUAUGUUCAACAGAUUAACCACGCGUAGAUGCAAAGUUUAAUGGACAUAGAAAAGUAGUUGCACCUUAUAUCCCUCUAGCUACCAUGAUUUCAGCAAUAAGCUAGCUUCCCCAGUAACAAUAAAAAUAUAUAUAUAAUGACGCUAAAAAUAGUUAUUGAAUAAGAUGACGACGACGACGACGAUGAUAAUAAUAAUAAAUGGCCACCUUUAUGGAUUCCCCAACCAUUUGCAAACAAAGGACCGAACCCUCGAAAAUCUUCGUGUCAUUUCUCAAGGAGUCUAGCUACGAAAAAUUCCCUGACCUGGAGCAGAGAGAUGAGCAAGUGCUGCUUCUACCAAUUUGGGUUCUGAAACUGUAUGAACACACACAUGCACAGUCAGUUUACUAGCAUGAUCAAUUCAAGAAAGCAACGCAGUAAACAAUGACUGCACGAGUACUUGAGAGAAGCUGGUGAUUUAGAAGAAACAUAAAUUAAAAAGCAACAUAGUUCACAGUGACAAGUUCUACCAAAUAUGCUUAACAAAGAUUUCAAAGCAGACACCACUUCCAGCCGAAAACUGGAUCUAAGAACUAG